rnacentral:lncRNA from 1 species
GGUAUUCCUUUGGAAACUUAACUUCCCUAUGUUAUUUUCUCUAUAAAACUCAUUAUAGCAGCCAACCUCACUGACAGACUGAUUGGACAUGGGUGCAUCAGGAAUACAAGGAAUAUUUCCUCAAACUACACACAGAGAGUGGUCAGGGGAAUGUUCUUUGCUCCUACAGUUACAACCUGUUGUGUUUCUUCAGAGCUUUAGGUUUUCCUCAGAGUGUUGUGGUUCAUGGUGUAUAAGAAGGUUAGUCCCCAAAAAUGGCUAGAAAAGCUUCUCUAAUAAGAAAUUAAGGGUAUAAUUUUCUUUUGGCACCACUGGAUUUAGAGAUAGUGCUGAACAUAGGCAGAAAACAGUCUGACAGACAAGACAGGUAAUUUAGAGAUAAAGGAGGCUAUGCUUUUGCACAUUACCGUGAAAAACUAUGUAUUUUUCUUCAUUUACAACCCACCCACCUCACACCCCCUUCCCCAUGUAUGUUUAUUUAGUAUCUUCAAAUAUUUGAAAUCUCAAAUCAAUGUUUUCACUAUGUCAUAGGAGUCUCAGGAAUUCUGGUGUGAAACAUUUUUCUCAUCUGGGAUUGAAAAGUGUAUACACUUGGAGUUUGAUCACCGGGCUGAAUAUUCAACUCACUGGCUCCUCAGCUGCUAAAGCUUGUUCUAGGAAGGAAAGAGAUUGUGACUGCUAUGUCUUCUUUCUCUGCUCCCUGGGAGACAUACUAUUCUGUGGUCUUGAAUCCACAGUCUCUAUUUAUCUUCCGAAUGUGGUGUUCCCGGGGAGCUGUGAGACUAGAUCCUGUAAGUGGAAGAAGGAAAGACUGGUACAACUCGCUUGAGAAGCCUCCAGCUGCAGAAAUACAAUUUGGAGAGGGGAAAAGAGAAGAAAUUUUUUUUAAAAAAAAAAAAAGAAAAAGGUUCUCAUUCAGGUAAGACUAUUGGAUUGUGAAGCUGGAAGGAUUUCUGUGGAGAUCAGCUUUAUUGCCUAGCCAAAGGUGAGAUGAGCUCUGCAUAAGCCAUUUCUGACAGGAGUUAAUAAAAACUGUUUCUAAAAACUCCUGUUUCCA